GUCCACGCCAUAAACGAUGUCAACUGGUUGUUGGGUCUUCACUGACUCAGUAACGAAGCUAACGCGUGAAGUUGACCGCCUGGGGAGUACGGCCGCAAGGUUGAAACUCAAAGGAAUUGACGGGGACCCCGCACAAGCGGUGGAUGAUGUGGUUUAAUUCGAUGCAACGCGAAAAACCUUACCCACCUUUGACAUGUACGGAAGUCGCUAGAGAUAGCUUCGUGCUCGAAAGAGAGCCGUAACACAGGUGCUGCAUGGCUGUCGU
rnacentral:rRNA from 1 species